rnacentral:rRNA from 1 species
UACAGAGGGUGCAAGCGUUGUUCGGAAUUAUUGGGCGUAAAGGGCGCGUAGGCGGUGCGGUAAGUCUUUUGUGAAAUCUCCGGGCUCAACUCGGAGUCUGCAGGAGAAACUGCCGUGCUUGAGUAUGGGAGAGGUGAGUGGAAUUCCUGGUGUAGCGGUGAAAUGCGUAGAUAUCAGGAGGAACACCUGUGGCGAAAGCGGCUCACUGGACCAUUACUGACGCUGAGGAGCGAAAGCGUGGGGAGCGAACAGG